rnacentral:rRNA from 1 species
GAUGAACGCUGGCGGCGUGCCUAAUACAUGCAAGUCGAGCGAACAGACGAGGAGCUUGCUCCUCUGACGUUAGCGGCGGACGGGUGAGUAACACGUGGAUAACCUACCUAUAAGACUGGGAUAACUUCGGGAAACCGGAGCUAAUACCGGAUAAUAUAUUGAACCGCAUGGUUCAAUAGUGAAAGACGGUUUUGCUGUCACUUAUAGAUGGCUCCGCACCGCAUGAGCUAGUUGGUGAGGUAACGGCUUAACAAGGCAACGAUGCGUAGCCGACCUGAGAGGGUGAUCGGCUACACUGGAUGUGAGACACGGUCCACACUCCUACGGGAGGCAGCAGUAGGGAAUCUUCCGCAAAGGGCGAAAGCCGGACGGAGCAACGCCGCGUGAGUGAUGAAGGUCUUCGGAUCGUAGAACUCUGUUAUCAGUGAAGAACAAAUGUGUAAGUAACUAUGCACGUCUUGACGGUACCUAAUCAGAAAGCCACGGCUAACUACGUG